rnacentral:rRNA from 1 species
UACAGAGGGUGCAAGCGUUAAUCGGAAUUACUGGGCGUAAAGCGUGCGUAGGUGGUUCGUUGUGUCUGUGGUGAAAUCCCCGGGCUUAACCUGGGAAUGGCCAUGGAAACUGGCGAGCUGGAGUCUGGCAGAGGGGGGUGGAAUUCCCGGUGUAGCGGUGGAAUGCGUAGAGAUCGGGAAGAACAUCAGUGGCGAAGGCGGUCUGCUGGGCCGUUGCUGACGCUGAGGCGCGACAGCGUAGGGAGCAAACAGG